rnacentral:piRNA from 1 species
UGCUUGCUUUAGCUUUCUUCAUCAGAUAUC